CAGUCGCCACGGGAAUACGGAGGGUGCAAGCGUUAAUCGGAAUUACUGGGCGUAAAGCGCACGCAGGCGGUUUGUUAAGUCAGAUGUGAAAUCCCCGAGCUUAACUUGGGAACUGCAUUUGAAACUGGCAAGCUAGAGUCUUGUAGAGGGGGGUAGAAUUCCAGGUGUAGCGGUGAAAUGCGUAGAGAUCUGGAGGAAUACCGGUGGCGAAGGCGGCCCCCUGGACAAAGACUGACGCUCAGGUGCGAAAGCGUGGAGAGCAAACAGGAUUAGAUACCCCGGUAGUCCCUGUCUCUUAUAC
rnacentral:rRNA from 1 species